rnacentral:rRNA from 1 species
UACGACGGGGGCUAGCGUUGUUCGGAUUUACUGGGCGUAAAGCGCGUGUAGGCGGGUCGUUAAGUUGGGGGUGAAAUCCCGAGGCGCAGCCUCGGAACUGCCUUCAAAACUGGCGACCUGGACUCAAGCAGAGGCGAGUGGAAUUGCGAGUGUAGAGGUGAAAUUCGUAGAUAUUCGCAGGAACACCAGUGGCGAAGGCGACUUGCUGGGCUUGUAGUGACGCUGAGACGCGAAAGCGUGGGGAGCAUACAGG